rnacentral:tRNA from 1 species
CCCAAGCUGGAAUUCUACAUAAACUAUUCCUUG